rnacentral:misc_RNA from 1 species
GAUGAAGAACGCAGCGAAAUGCGAUAAGUAGUGUGAAUUGCAGAAUUCAGUGAAUCAUCGAAUCUUUGAACGCACAUUGCGCCCCUUGGUAUUCCAUGGGGCAUGCCUGUUCGAGCGUCAUUUCAACCCUCAUGCCCCUAGGGCGUGGUGUUGGGGAUCGGCCAAAGCCCGCGAGGGACGGCCGGCCCCUAAAUCUAGUGGCGGACCCGUCGUGGCCUCCUCUGCGAAGUAGUGAUAUUCCGCAUCGGAGAGCGACGAGCCCCUGCCGUUAAACCCCCAACUUUCCAAGGUUGACCUCAGAUCAGGUAGGAAUACCCGCUGAACUUAAGCAUAUCAAUAAGCGGAGGA